rnacentral:rRNA from 1 species
UACGUAGGGUGCAAGCGUUGUCCGGAAUUAUUGGGCGUAAAGAGCUCGUAGGCGGUCUGUCGCGUCGGCUGUGAAAUCCCGAGGCUCAACCUCGGGUCUGCAGUCGAUACGGGCAAACUAGAGUAUUGCAGGGGAGACUGGAAUUCCUGGUGUAGCGGUGAAAUGCGCAGAUAUCAGGAGGAACACCGGUGGCGAAGGCGGGUCUCUGGGCAAUAACUGACGCUGAGGAGCGAAAGCGUGGGGAGCGAACAGGAUUAGAACCGUACCGU